rnacentral:ncRNA from 1 species
UAAAGGUUUGGUCCCGGCCUUUCCAUUAGUUAUAGGUAGGACUACACAUGCAAGUAUCCGCACUCCAGUGAGAAUGCCCUUCAUAUCGCACAGAUCAGAAGGAGCGGGCAUCAAGCACACGCAAACACCGUAGCUCAUGACGCCUUGCUCAGCCACGCCCCCACGGGUAUACAGCAGUGAUAAAAAUUAAGCAAUGAACGAAAGUUUGACUAAGUCAUACCUACUAACAGGGUUGGUCAAUCUCGUGCCAGCCACCGCGGUCAAACGAUUGACCCAAAUUAAUGGAUCUACGGCGUAAAGCGUGUUUAGGAAACAUGAAAAAUAAAGUUAAGCUUUAACUAAGCUGUAGAAAGCCUUCAGUUAAAAUAAAAUACACUACGAAAGUGACUUUAUAACAUCUGAACCCACGACAGCUGAGGUCCAAACUGGGAUUAGAUACCCCACUAUGCUCAGCCCUAAACUUAAAUAGUCCCUACUACAAGACUAUUCGCCAGAGUACUACUAGCCACAGCCUAAAACUCAAAGGACUUGGCGGUGCUUUAUAUCCAUCUAGAGGAGCCUGUCCUAUAAUCGAUAAACCCCGAUAAACCUCACCAACUCUGGCUAAUUCAGCCUAUAUACCGCCAUCUUCAGCAAACCCUCAAGGGAGCAACAGUAAGCACAAACAUCUGACAUAAAAACGUUAGGUCAAGGUGUAGCCUAUGAGUUGGGAAGAGAUGGGCUACAUUUUCUCCUUGAGAAUAUAACCUACACGGAAGCCCAUAUGAAACAAUGGACUGAAGGUGGAUUUAGCAGUAAAUUGAGAAUAGAGAGCUCAGUUGAACAAGGCCAUGAAGCACGCACACACCGCCCGUCACCCUCCUCAAGUACAAAAAUAUACCACCAACAUAUACACUUAUAUUUAAGCUGCAAGAGGAGAUAAGUCGUAACAAGGUAAGCGUACCGGAAGGUGCGCUUGGACAAU